GCUGUGCUCCAAGGCACUUGACUACUACUUAUUCAUAUGGAUAGACUUGGAUCUUCUACAAAGCUUAAAUUUAUAAUAAGGUCUUGAACGUGGUAUUUACUUUAUGGAAGAUCAAUAAUCUAUUGGUGAACAUUGCAUAAUGAGAUAACAGUUAGAGGAAAAAUAGUGUUUAAUAUGCGGGUAUCCUUUCUUGCUGGACUUACUGCCGUGUGUCAUAUCUUAUCAAUCGCUAUGCUGUCUAUCUGGUAUAUUUGUAACGUCAACUUACUGAAUAUUUCCAACAAUCUAGAGGGUUCAGGUCAAGAUUUCAUUUAUUUUAAAUAAUUUAUAUCUGCGGCAAAUUUUGAAGCUAAAGCCAAAUUUUUCUAAAAAUUUGAAAGAGCAGUACUAUCCAUGUUUUGCUCAUUACAUGGUAUGAAAAGCGAUUAAUGAGCGAAAACCCCAUGUAAUGUAUAUCUGGGAUCUAAUAAUUCCUAACACCAACAUUUUCCUUUGAAGGCAAUGGUAGCUUAUUCUAUGUUUUAGGGGAGUAAAAUGAUGUUGGCCUUUUUAUGUAAUGUGGGAUGAUGGGAAGAAAAACCACUUCUUCCUUAUGGAUUUGGACCAUGUAUUCGAGUGCGCGAAUAGCAGCCCAUCUUUUGUUGUUUUUUCCCCUCGCCCUGAUGCGCUGAAUUUUGAGUUUAUAAGGGUUGCAGUUUUAUAGUUGUAUAGGUUUGAUCCCAUAUAUUGUGCUUCAUCAUUAUAAAUAUUAGAGUUUCUUUGUCAUGCCAUUUGUCUGACCAUUGUGCGUCCUAUAUAUGAUGUUAGACUCCUAAUCGACACAAUGCUCCCACAAACGCCUGCGUCAGCGUUGCGUCAGCCUUUGGCCGGUAAAUUAUGUUUUUUCCUUCCAGUUUUUAUUAUUACAGUUUAAGAGUCCCUAAAAAAAAUUGCCCAACCCCAAAGUUGUCCGAGCCUUUUCCAUCAUCCUCGAUGAAUCCAACUACCCCGCCUUUGUCCUCAGCCAUGCAAACGGUGUUCUUCGAGCUCUCAAAAGUCUGGAAAUACAUCACGGCCGUCACACUGCCUUAAAUUUCUGAUUUACACUGAAGAUGAUGAGAUGAUUCUCAUACAAAAUACCAAUCACAACUUGAAGACUGGGAAAGUCCGACCACCCAAUACUUCAGCGAAGAACAAUCCACUACCACCCACCACCCAUCGGUGAGAACAUCCCCAACAAUCAACCACACCUCGACAAGAACGAAAACCCGCUGAUCACCCAUCAAUCUGGGGUAUGAAACAUGUGACCUACGCGUCCACACUUCCACUGCUUUCGCGAUCUUACAAACGCCCAAUCAAAGCCUCGCAUCCCAACUCCUUAUUUGUACUACAUUGAUUUUUCCUAUUUGUAAAUUGUUUUGGCAUGCAUGUAUUACUAUUCAUGCUUAGUAUUAUAUUUAGUCUUAUUUUGUAUUUUCAUUUAACCACCUAUUUCGCAACGCCUCCUGGUGUUUGUUACAUGUAGUUUCAAUGUUUCAUUCAGUUCAUCAUUACAACGGUCUUUGACAACCAAGCAUUGUGCCCGAAUUUUUCAACGAUCUUGUACUUGAAAUUCCCCUUGACAUAAGUUUAACAUCGAAGCCUUUAACAAAUGGAUUUCUGAAUGGAUGAUAUUUGAGAUCUGCUUUUUUUUAUCCGCUGCCCUUCUCCGUUUUUUUUCUUCUUGAAGUUAUUCGGGUAUAUCUAUUGGAUUUUUGACGUUCACCCCCUCUAUCAUUCAGUACAUUAUGUGUCGUAUUCCUGUUUUACUGAGGGCAUGGCUUGAGAAGACACAAUUGGACGCAAUCAAGUUUGGGGGCACGUUAGAUUGAGCCAAAUCUUUGAUCAUAUCAGGUCAAUUCCUUUUUGUUAUUGCAUUCUGCCUGUAGUUGAAUUCUUUCUAACUAGAUUUGCUUGGUUGUUCUUAUACGCCGCUUCAGACCUGCUUAUUACAUUCUUUGGUCCAUCCUUAUGUUGCAAGGCUAUUGAGAAGGCCUUUUAUGAAUUCGGAAUAUCCCGUUCACCCUCCAAGGUAUCAAUACUAGAAAUUCAUAUUACUCUUAAUUAACCUGCUCACUCUUUGGGCGUGAUAUUAAUUCAGCUUGUGCCAUUACCUCUUACAAUUGCGCCAAUUGGGAUUGUGAUAAGGGAAAUGAUUUUGAGAUCAAUUUUUCCGCUGCCACACACGUCGUUUUCUUCUCUAAGUUAUAUGUCUGGUAUAGUAUUCUGAUUUUUGACUUCAUCAACCCUCUUCACUCAGUAACAUUAGUGGUCCGCAUUGCUGUCAUCUGAGGUCAUUAUUCUGUUCUGGCCUCUGCAAUCACUCACCAAGUCCACACACCUCUCUCCUUCCUGGCUUAUUGAUAUCUAUUCAAAACUUGUUUUUUUUUUCGAUCCUAAGGUUGGUAUAUUUUCCUCUAUAGAUAGUAUAUGACUUCUUUUUUGUUUUCCGUUUAUUUUCAUUCAUUGGCUUACCUAGUUUAAUUUUCUUGUUUUAAUUACCCCGUGCAUCAGGAUCUAGCAACUCUCUCUUCUUCCCAUUUGAAUCCCAAACUAAUUGGUAAAUCAUUUAUUAUAUUGCCCUUAACUGGAAGCAUGCUAUUCACAAGUGUUUUGGUAUUUGACCCGGUUCUGGCAUUAACUCAGUAAGCGUGAGAUUUAUUCAGAAGGAUGUCAAAAGAGGAAAGUAAUCUUUUAAUGCAAGGCCAUAUUUCAGGUUGUUCUUACACUGCCUUCUGCUCUGGUUCCAUGGACCCAGUCCUUGACGUGCAAUCUUUUCACGUCGGGUUCUUUUGUUUUGCUUUGUUACUUGUUGCUCUCCAUUACUAACUAUAAGUAUUGUUUUCAGGUUUGAUAGCUUUGCAAUGCAUUGCAUGCUCCUGCAAUCCCCGUAAAUUUCUGGGAUUGCGUUUGUUUAUUACGUGAUUCUGAUCUUUAAGUGAGGGUGCAAGUUGUCAACAACAGAGACCGAUAUCUUAAUUUGGUGGGAUUAAUAUUUUCUUGUAUAUGUUAUGCAGCUGUGUUUUAUUGUGCUGCUUUGGUUAGAGUCAAGUGGAUGGAUCUUUUGCUUACUUUGCGAACUGUAGUUUCCUGCAUAAUUUAUGUGCCUGUUGAUUACAUAACUUUUUGUGGCAUUGAGUCACUUAGGUAUGCUCGAAUCAUUUUUUCUAGCUGUUCCUUGUAUUUUGUUUUUGGCAGCAGAUGUGUAUUUCCUAAAAGUUCAGAACCAGUUAAUAACUGAUUCAUAGUUUUUCUUGCUGUGCAGCUAAAUUUGAUAGAUUAACCUCCCAUCAUGAGUUUUAACAUUUUUAUCCUUUGUUCCCAGGUAGUUUCGUUUCUUGGAGAAUCUUGCUUAAUUUUUAAAAUGAACAAUGUAUUAUACAUUUAUAGUUUGCUAAUGGGUGGUAGAUUCCAAUAGUAUAUACAAGUGGUUAUAGUACCAUCGUGGCUGUGAAAAGUUGUAAAUUGGUGGAAAUCUUGUUCCCAAAUAUUACUUUGAACGCAAAUUCUUAGUUUUUUACACAGCUAACGUGGUUUCACAUGCUUUUUAGCUUCGCAUAGGCUUUUGACUGGGUAAGUCGCAGGAUUUCAUCAUUACCAAAAUUGCUCACAUGGAAACGCUCAGGAAAGGGUGGCUUAUAUGCAGCCUUGUUUGGUUUGACUUAGUUCAAUUUCUGUAGCAUUCUUGAGGAAUUCUUGAACUUGCAAGUCCGGUUUGCCCUGUUACCUAUCGUGUACUUUUUUCUUUGCUUUCCCAUUAUUACUUGUCAGCUUGUUGAACCUUGCUCCUUCGUUUAAAACUCCUACGUUUCUUUUCUGUAUAUAGCACACUGGGGUGUUAAGUGCUACUUCAACAUUACUCACUCGAUUUCCUCGCUAUUAUCCAUUUCAGUUUCUUCUUCUGCGUUCAUUUCCUCCAAGCUGCAUAUCAUGCGAAACUUAUCCUCACGCAUUUCCCCGUAGUAUGAGGUCACCAGAACCCAUCACUCCAAUUUAAAGGUGGCUCAUUGACAUAAAAAUACGUACCUGUAAAUUGUUUUUUAAAUUAACUAAUCCAAAAUAAGCUUGAUUUUUAUUUGUGCAGAUUGAUCUGCUACCUGAAAUCAGUCAACCUCCAGGAUUCUCCGAGAAUGUUGAUGCGGCUCUUAAAGCAAGCUGAUUAAGGGGAUUUAGAUAGUAUCUGAGGUACUGGAUUGUGAUUACUAAUAUUUAACGUCCUUUUCUUUUUCUCAUUUUCCUGUUGACCCCCAUGCACGUUAGAGCAACGAAGAUUGAGUUUCUUUUCUUUGGUUUCAUUUCUUCUAUGCUUGGGUUCCUUUUCGUUCCCUCAUUCCAUUGGUAAUUCCGCCUUUCGAACUUAUCUGGCGCGAGACAACAGGGGUCUUCAUUUUUACUGAAACGAACCGAAAUUUAAAUUGUUGCUUCCACUAAGGCGAUGCUGCUUCGAGCUGGACCCGAUAUAUGUACCACUGAUCAACUCUCUUGUGCUUAUGUUGGAAUGCAUGUGUGUCCAUGCAUACUUUUCUUUUUUCAAUAUAUGCAAAAUUUUUAAUAGCAAUUAAGUGAUGUACACCAAGAAGCGUAUGAUAAAUUCUUACAGACCAUGCAUUGUCAUGAAAGUAUGCCAUGGAAAGAGCAGUCCCUUCUAAUCCUAAGGGUGGCAAGAGUUCAUUUUCGCUUUUUUUUUUGUUUUUUCUUUCUGUUUGUGGUUUGGCAAGUCUUCUUCUUGUUUUCCAUGUCAGCAAACUUAGGCGGAUGCUAUGCUCCAAUUGCCUAAGCAUGCUAAAUUGGCAUGUAAUUAUUGUUUUCAAAACCCUGUUCUGGUCACAAAUUUUUCGGUUGUGACGAUUUAUUUUUUUUAAUUGUUAGGGGUACUCAAUUUUCUUGACAAUCCUAUCUUUGACAUGCCUUGAAAGGUUUUCCCAUCUAAUAUUAAGGACACCGUAUGGGUAUAACUAUGUAACCUAUUUUUAUGUCAAUUAAUUUUGUUGUGUUUGAACGGUUAAAUUAAUUGUUUUUCCCCCCUUCUGCUGAAUUUUCUAACUUUUCUUUAUAUGGAAGUUGAUAAACUUUUUUAUUGGAACUCUUAGUUCAAACUGAGCAAUUUAAGGCUCAACAUUGCAGUUAUUUUUAAGCCUGUUUUUGAUCAGGGAUUUGCAUAGGGAUUUGGUGGAGGGAAUGGAACGAGGGCCAAUCGGUGUAGAAAGAAUAUGUAGAUCAUGAGGUACAAAAGCUAUAUCCCUUUCCUUGGUAUCCCAUCCUAAAUUUAUGAUCCCAAAUAAAAGACAAGGGGCAAUUUUUGAAAAUGCAUGUGUACACCGUAAUUAAAUUAAGAAAAUUCAUUAUUUGGUAGAUCUUAACUCGAGAACAUGUGGAAUGGUGCGACGCGAAUCAAAAACAAAAACUAAAUCCAAUAUAUAUAUUUUUUUUUUGUGCAAAUUGCCUACUCGACACUUGUUUCGCACGCGUGGGGAGGGUGGGAUCAACAAAAUGACGUGAAUUGGCUGAUCUUUCGAACAAAUCCUUGAUCCUAAGAUUGGGGGGUUUAGGUAUAUUGUGCUUUGGAUGCUCUUCCUCAAAUCACAGGGCGCCAAUCCAUUGUCACUAAUGAUAGCCUAGUCCUUGGUAAGACUGGAAACAUACAAGAGUGUCUAAGGCUUAACUCUUCUCUUAACUAAAAUUUGGGAAAUUGAAUUUAAAUCAUAUUUUGACUUGGACCAUGUUGCGAAAACCACCGUCAGCUGCUUAUGUGAUUGAAUAUUAGAAGUUGAAAAUUCUAACACAUUUAACAAGAUUUGUAAGAAGAUAGUAAGUCGUAUAAUAGACUAAAUCAGAUUUAUUCCCUAGACCAUGUUCAAGAAGCAUAACGGCCCAAACCCUCAAUUGUGGCUUUAUGCAAAAUGAAUAGUGGAGAUUAGAAAUGUUAAUGUGUUUUGAACGAGGAGGAUUAUUAGUUGCAUAAACUGUAUUCAUUUUAUAUGUACAUCAAAAUAUAAUGCAUAUAUUAGUAUUAAUGAUUACCCAUUAUAUUGCCGGUCUUGGCAUCUCUGUAUCCUAGUGUUUCUAGCACUUCCUCCUAUGUUGGUCGCGACGUCACUCAUUUAUAUUCCUUUAUGUGCAUCUUGUGCUUCAAGGACCUGCUGGUUCCAUCAUAUCAUACCUGCCAAAAUAUAUAUGGUUGGUGUUAGUUAUUUACCAGGUCUCAAGAUAUUCACUCUUUCUAGAUGCAUUGUCUGUACGGUUUGAAUAUCUGUUAGCUGAUAGCUUUGGCCAAAAUUUCUGAAUUUUUGUAGUGGAUACAACUGGGUUGUGAACUUCUAUUCUUGUAUACGUUGGGCGCCGUUUGGCACCCCUCUUUUUUUGAGCUUUUUUUUUUUUUUUGCCUUUUUUGCAAAACCAACCAGAGUUGGCUUUUUUGCUUUUAUUUUUUUUGCCUUUUUGUUUAGUUUUAAGAAAAGUAAGCAAAAAGCAAAAAGCAAAAAAAAUCUUUGGCCUUUUGGUAGCAAUCUUAAAAAAAGAAAUUUAAAAAUAUAAAUAUAUAAUUAAAUAAAAACUAGAGGAGCAUAAAUUAUUUACUUAAUGAAAUUAAAUUUCAAUUUAAAUCAGUUUCAAUUUUCUUAAUAACCUAUAAUAAUUAAAACUUGUGGUCCAUGGAGAUCACUUAUUAACAUGAGGACCUGGAGCGUAAUUAGUAUUUAAAAAUCCCACUCAGCCCUAAAAUAAAACACUCUCCUCUCUCUUCUUCCUUCGAUCUCAGCUCGCCGCCGACCAUGGUGAAUUGCUUACCUCCCACCGUCGCACCACCCGGGCCUAUCGGAGCCACCGGCUGCCUUGAGGGUCCACAGAGCAAGAGAAGCGUUCGAAUCAGAAUCGACCCUCAUCGGUGUCGAAAUCGAGCCUCGUCAGGUCAGUUUCCAAGCAUAUCUCGCACAGGCCAUAGCCCCCGUCGGGGAUUGAUGUUGGGAGCGCGUUUCCGACGGAUUUGGGGCGAUUUUCCGACGAGCUUUCCGAGAAGAAGCGCCGAUUCGCGGUUCUCAGGGAGAUUCGCCACCACUUUGCAAGAUUCCUGCAACUAAGGUUGGAACGUGAUCAAAAAAAAAAUCUGCAGGACUCCCAGACUUGUUACUACUGGAUGAACCUACCAAUCAUCUUGAUCUUGACUCAAUGGAGUGGCUGGAAGAAUAUCUUAAUAAGCAAGAUGUGCCCAUGCCCCAUGGGAUCAUUUCCGUACAGGGCUUUUCCUUGAUCACUCUGUACAAAAAUGUGUUAGGGUUCUGUCAAUUACUACUACCUUCAUCCUGUUAUGUUUAUUCCAAGAUUUUUUUUAACUUUUGAAGGAAAUAUGCACGUAAUGAUGCAGUUUCAAAAUUAAAUCAAAAGACUGAUUUCAAACAUUGCCUAUAUUCUCCAUUUUUAUAAUUUUUAUGACCAUUUGUAUGGGAUAGUUUAAGAAAACUAACCAGUUUUAUGCUUUGGUUUUUAAAAUGGACAAUCAUUUUGUGUCAUCCCAAAAUAUAAACAAUGCCCAAAUAAAUUGAGGCUGAAAGAGUAACACUAUUUAGUGUUUUGCUCUAAAAUAAAUUACCGCAGUCCAACCAUACCCGUUUUUGCAUGAAAAUAUGGGACAAAUACUUUUCUAAUGGCUAACCCUAAUGCUACUCUAAUUAUUUACUUUGAAUUUUACCUAAAAAGUGAGGUGUAUUGUGCAGUUUCAAGCUAGUGGUAAUAUGGUUCACACUCCCAAUACAUCUUGUCCAUAAAUUUCAAAUUCUUGGAAUUGAUUUAGGUAAAAUUUUGGGUAGACAUUAUUAUUGAACUCUAAUCAGCAUGUAUACGUCUUAAACUUUUAUAAGUUGUUUGAUAACUUUUCCACAUCCUAAUUCAAUCAGUCCAUAAAGAAAAUUUGGAAGAAUGUUCAAUAAAAGAAAAUAGUUAUCAUCAAAAAUUGGUUGGGGGGUGGAAAAGUUGUCCCCUUCAGAUGUGAAUCGCCCAGGAUGCGUUCUUAACUGCAAUGAACAACAAUAAACUUUUCAAAAAUAAAAGCAAUAAAGAAGAAGUAAAUAAGCCAAUUCGCAUAGAAAAUGCAAGAAACUUUAUUGCUUUUCUCAUACUGGAAGGCUUCUUUUUUUUUCUUCUUCCCUCCCCGAAAUAUUUGUAUAGGAAAAAAACUAAGCAAAAUGUACAAAAUUAUUUGUGACGGUCUUUUUACUCUCAUAAUCCGUUCAUCUAAGAAGUAAGAUUUAAGAACGUGUCUUCUCUGCAAGGACAUGUGAGACCGUCCAUAGGAUGACUGAACCCGAAAUUCUCUUCAGCCUUAUAAAUAAAGUCUUAAAACGACGGUUGGUUCAAAUAUGAUAUUGGAAUUAAAAAUCUCUUCUUCUGUGCCUGUCCAACAUAAACUGCCAAGUAACCCUUAAGGACAUCUGCAGCUACUGUUCAAAAUAUUUUUAUUGCAUCCUGUUCAAAAUAUCUUUAUUGCAUCUAUUUAACAUAUUUUACCUAAUUGCUCAACAAUCCUUUGAUCUUGCUUCCCUUCGUCUCUAUAUCAUCUAAUCCUUCAUUCAACUUGGCCUUUUUUUAAUCCUCUUCAUACUGCCCAUUCCUGUACUUCUAGUUACAACUAUGCUGCUAGCCUCAAUCUUCUCUACAAAGCAACUUUCUCUUCAUUAGCUGCAACAACUUCCUCUGCAGUAUUUAUUCCUUCCACUGCAGCAGCUUCCUCUGUAACAGCGGUAGUCACACCUGCGCCAACUGGCAUGCUUCUUCAAUCAUGGAGCAUGUCCUUCUUUCUUCUUUCUUCCCAGGCCGUAUGAAUAUGCUAAACCAUUCGCCAUUACAGACCACAUUACAAACUGUGCACAACUUGACGACUUCCGCUGCUGCCCCGCCUUCCAUAAUUUUUCGUCUUUUUGCCUCCAAAUCCUCCAUAGACGCUUCUGCCUUCUUUCCAGCUUUCCCCUUAUCAGGAUUUUCGGUUAAUCCGGUGAUUAGGCCGCUGGAAAAUCCUGAUAAGGGGAAAGCUGCUGGAAAGAAGGCAAAGCGUCUAUGGAGGAUUUGGAGGCAAAAGACGAAAAAUUAUGGAAGGCGGGGCAGCAGCAGAAGUAGUAAGUUGGUGACACAAUUGUAAUGUGGUCUGUAAUGGUGAAUUGGUUUCGCAUAUCGUAUGGCUGGGAAGAAACAUGCUUCCAUGAUGAAGAAGCAUUCAUUUGUCGCAUGUGUGGCUACCGCUGUUACAGAGGAAGCUGCUGUAGUGGAAGGAAUAAAUACUGCAGAGGAAGUUGCAGCUACUGAAGAGAAGUGUUGCGGAGGAAAAUUUUGAGCCUAGCAGCAUAGUUGGAACUGGAAGUACAGAAAUGGGCAGUCAUGAAUAGGAUUAAAACAAUUAAGCUGGAUGAAGGAUUAUAUGAUAUAGAAACUAGGGGUGUCCCUGGUCUGGAUGGGUCCGGUUCCAUAAGAAUUUAGUACCACUCCAUGUUUAAGCGGUUUUGAAAAAUGAGACCGGCAGCUACCCAUUACAAGUAUAAUACACCAAAGCAAAACCAAUCGUCUAUCGGUUUGGUUCCGGCUCGGUUUCGGUUCACUCCAAUUAAUAUUUAAUAAUUUUUUAUAAAAUAUAAAAUUACAACAAAGUUUGUAUUAUUAAAAUAAUCCAUAACUUCAGAAGGCUUCAGUUCUGAACCAAACAUUUGUACAACUAGUUCAUAUAUUGACUCGUGAAGCUAUAUAUCAACCAACCUCUAAUAUAGUAAUUACAACUCAUAAAGUUUAGAAUUCAUAAUGGAGGAACAACAAAAAGGAAUAAACGAAGAACUGAAAAAGAUUCAUAAUGGAUAAUAAAAACAUUAACUGAGAAAUGAUGAUAGACCAAGAAGGUGAAAGGGUUUUUGAUGAAGGGGAAUGGAGUAAUCCUAAUCUUCAUGGGAAGUAAAAAACUAAUUUUUUGUUGGGAGAAAGCCAAAGUAUACACUCGUAGGUGUGAAUACGGCGUUGGUGUUAGAUUCUAGAUAAAUAUGUAUACGCGUAUGUGUUGUAUACUUGCAUAUAUGUUUUUGUGUAUUAAUAUAUAAAUAUGUCUACGUGUAUGUUGCUGGAUCAUAUAUCUAUAUGCAUAUAUGUGUGUAAUAUAUAUAUAUAUAUAAUCCGGUUUCCGGUUCGGUGUCGAACCACGGUUUUGAAAACAUAAAUCGUAACUAACCAAUUUACCUGGGUUCUUAUUUUUAAAAACCAGAACCUAACAUUAACAUAGCACCCAUCCACAAGGCAUGGUUUCGGUUCGUUCCGUCACCGGAUUUCUAUUUUUUUGGACACCCCUAAUAGAACGAAGGGAAGCAAAUCAAAUAAUUGUUAGCAUUAGUUUAACAUAGGUUUAUGUUGGCCAUCUACUGUUCAAAAUUUUUGUGUUUUUUUUAGUUUCACUUGUUUUAGCUCUUGCUUUAGGCUUUAACUGAAUUCUUAGACUUUUAUCUUUUUUGCUUGUUGUUUUGGGACACUUUUGCUCAGGCCCUCAAGGGGGUAUAGUAUCUCUCUAUCACAGUUUAUGUCUCUUUUUCUGACUCGAUUAGGACCAUCUUCCCUCAUUCUUUUUCUCUGUUGCUACCACUGCCUUAGGCCCUCAAGUUCUUUCUCUCUCUCUCUCUCUCUCUCUCAUCUCUAAUAUAUUAUUAUAUAUAUAUAUUUUUCAGAUUCAAUUAUUGUGUCUUCUUUAUAUUGUCCCUCUUGGGGAUGGGUUCUGGAUUCUCACUUGGUUUAUGUGACGUUUUGGUUUUUCAUCAUCUCUGAUCGUCUUCUUUUUCAAUCUAAUUAAGAAACGCAGUCCAAUUACCAAUUAAUGUCUGUUUAUUUAUCUUGCUCUUCCGUUUGCUUUGUGUGAUUUGUGUUUACUUCCUGUGAUAUGUUCUGGUACCGGUAAGUAGUUUGUCUGAUGUUCCAAAAGCAAUUAGUAGAAAGUAAAUUGGACCAUCUUUAUAACAGAAAUGAAGACUGCUAUAUGAAGUAAGGCUCCCUUCUCACAGAUAGCGGCAGGGUCGCAGCGUCUUAAGACUGGUUACGGAUCCUUAUAGACUUCUGUGCGAUACAUGCAUGCUGCUUUGAAUGUGUAAAAUUUAUCUACAGAUAAUUUUACUCAAAUAAUGUACAUCUGAUACUCUCACUUUCAAGUAUGCAGAGCUGUUGAGGAAAUACUGGAUCCUGCCAAGGUUAAGGUUAUGGGGAUGUCCCAACUCCAGUACCCAAAAAUUAGACUCGGAUCCUUUAAUCUUCACUAUGUUUGAAUAAGAAGAGGCUCAUUAGUGAUUAUAAGAAAAAGUUCUGGUUAUCUUGUGCAUGUGAGAUGGAAUCUCUUAUACCAUGCCCGAUUUCAUUGGUUAACUUCUUCGACUUUUGUGUUUGAACUUUAUGUGCCUAUAUGAUUAUGUUUAAGUGACCCAUGAUUGCCAGAACUUCCGUGGUCACUUUUGAAGCUCUGAUUAUAAUCCUCUAUAACCAUUGGCCACUUCAAAGUUGCGCAGGGUUUUCCCAUUCUAAAAUGUGUGGGGAUAUACUAUAUCUUGGAUUCAAACAUAAUCUCUUGCAUUUCAUUUGGUAGUCCUUUCGUCGGGAACUAUCUAUAUUCAGCAUUGCAGGUUAUUAUCUUUAACUGUUGGGAAAGGACAAUGUUUUAAGACCAACAUUAAAUGUUUUGGUAUUAUUCUGUUCAUUAAGAAAAGAUUAUGAUGUCAUUUUUGUAAAUAUAUAUGCUAAUUGUUUCUUGAAGUCAUUUUCGCUUCAAAUUAACAUUGACCUGUCAGAAGGUAGGCCCAGGGGGUUAUCUGGUAUUUUCAGUUAGGAUUGGGUUGAUUUUCAGUUUACUUGUACUAAUUUAUUAUUUUCUUUUAUACCCAUUACUUGUACGAUUUGAUGAUGUCAUCAUGCCAUUAUAUGGUAUAGUUCUGAUGUAUGAGUUUUCUUUGCACCCAUGUUGAACUGGUUAAAUUGUGGGAAACUGAUUGCAAGAAAUAAUGUGACGCAAUUUGUUACGUUGUAAACAAGUUUAAACAACGAUUUACCUCUAUCAUGAUAUUGUGAAGAAUUUUAGGAGCAACAGUUUGAGAUCUUAUGUUUAAGUGUUUUUGACGUGACUUUGGAAUUAUCUUUGUGGCAUUAUUCCUCCAUCAGGAAUUGUGCUUACUAAUCUUUGAUAUUUAUUCCACAAUCUUUCUGCAGGAAUCCACAUCAGAGAUGCAGGACAAGGAUUCUUUAUUGUUAUAUGACUGUGGCAAAUUUGAAACUAAAGCAAAAGAUUUUUAUGAAAUUUGAAAGAAGCUGUAAUCCAUGGUUGGGUUAAGUACCAUGGUAAUGAAAAGGUGGUUAAGAUGAGUACCCAUUGUAAUGUAUAUCUGGUAUAUAGAAUUCUAACGCCAUCAUUUUUUUGAGUAAUGGAGCUAGUCUAUGUUUGGGGAGUCUGAUUUCGAGCCUUUCCUUUUACGUAAGUGGAUGAUGGGAAG
rnacentral:lncRNA from 1 species